AGUGGACGCUGGCGGUAGGCCUAACACAUGCAAGUCGAACGGCAGCACAGUAAGAGCUUGCUCUUACGGGUGGCGAGUGGCGGACGGGUGAGGAAUACAUCGGAAUCUACUUUUUCGUGGGGGAUAAUGUAGGGAAACUUACGCUAAUACCGCAUACGACCUACGGGUGAAAGCAGGGGAUCUUCGGACCUUGCGCGAUUGAAUGAGCCGAUGUCGGAUUAGCUAGUUGGCGGGGUAAAGGCCCACCAAGGCGACGAUCCGUAGCUGGUCUGAGAGGAUGAUCAGCCACACUGGAACUGAGACACGGUCCAGACUCCUACGGGAGGCGGCAGUGGGGAAUAUUGGACAAUGGGCGCAAGCCUGAUCCAGCCAUACCGCGUGGGUGAAGAAGGCCUUCGGGUUGUAUAGCCCUUUUGUUGGGAAAGAAAAGCAGCAGGUUAAUACCCCGCUGUUCUGACGGUACCCAAAGAAUAAGCACCGGCUAACUUCGUG
rnacentral:rRNA from 1 species